UGUGUUGUGUGUGUGUUGUGUGUGUGUGUGUGUGUGUGUGUGUGUGUGUGUGUGUGUGCGCACACACACACACACACACACACACACACACACACACAUAUAUGAUAUACAUAUAUAUAAAUAUACUAUAUAUAUAUAUAUAUAAAUAUAUAUAUAUAUAUAUAUACAAACACACACAC